UAGAUAGAUAGAUAGAUAGAUAAGGUUAGAUGAUAGAUAGAUAGAUAAGUUUAGAUGAUAGAUAGAUAGAUAGAUAGAUAGAUAAGGUUAGAUGAUAGAUAGAUAAAUAGAUAGAUAGAUAGAUAGAUAGACAGAUAGAUAAGGUUAGAUGAUAGAUAGAUAGAUAGAUAGAUAGAUAGAAUGAUAGAUAGAUAAGGUUAGAUGAUAGAUAGAUAGAUAGAUAGAUAGAUAGAUAGAUAGAUAGAUAAGGUUAGAUGAUAGAUAGAUAGAUAGAUAGAUAAAUAGAU